GACGAACGCUGGCGGCGUGCUUAACACAUGCAAGUCGAACGAAGUGGCGAACGGGUGAGUAACGCGUAAUCAACCUGCCCUUCAGACGGGGACAACAGUUGGAAACGACUGCUAAUACCGCAUACGGAAGGAGGGGAUUGCGUCUGAUUAGCUAGUUGGAGGGGUAACGGCCCAACAAGGCGAUGAUCAGUAGUCGGGCUGGAAGGAGAAACGGCGAAAGUGGGAUGGAGAAACGGACCAGACGCGUAGAGGGGGCAGCAGGGGGGAAUCUUCCGCAAUGGACGAAAGUCUGAAGGAGAAACGCCGGGGGAAUGAGGAGGGCAUGCGGGUUGUAAAGCGCUGUUAAUCGGAAAGCGGUACCGGAAUAGAAAGCCACGGCUAACUACGUGCCAGCAGCCGCGGUAAUUC
rnacentral:rRNA from 1 species